rnacentral:rRNA from 1 species
CUACGGGUUGCAGCAGCAGGGAAUAUUGCACAAUGGACGGAAGUCUGAUGCAGCGACGCCGCGUGGAUGAUGAAGGCCCUCGGGUUGUAAAAUCCUUUUCAGGGGGACGAGGAAGGACGGUACCCUUGGAAUAAGCGUCGGCUAACUACGUGCCAGCGAGCCGCGGUAAGACGUAGGACGCAAGCGUUAUCCGGAUUUACUGGGCGUAAAGCGUCUGUAGGCGGAAUGGUAAGUUGGACGUGAAAGCUCCGGGCUCAACUCGGAGAGGUCGUUCAAUACUGCCAAACUAGAGGGCAUCAGAGGAGCGUGGAAUUUCCGGUGUAGCGGUAAUAUGCGCAGAUAUCGGAAGGAACACCAAUGGCGAAGGCAGCGCUCUGGGAUGAACCUGACGCUAAGAGACGAAAGCUAGGGGAGCGAACAGGAUUAGAUACCCCCGUAGUC